GAUGAACGCUGGCGGCGUGCCUAAUACAUGCAAGUCGAGCGAACGGACGAGAAGCUUGCUUCUCUGAUGUUAGCGGCGGACGGGUGAGUAACACGUGGAUAACCUACCUAUAAGACUGGGAUAACUUCGGGAAACCGGAGCUAAUACCGGAUAAUAUUUUGAACCGCAUGGUUCAAAAGUGAAAGACGGUCUUGCUGUCACUUAUAGAUGGAUCCGCGCUGCAUUAGCUAGUUGGUAAGGUAACGGCUUACCAAGGCAACGAUGCAUAGCCGACCUGAGAGGGUGAUAGGCCACACUGGAACUGAGACACGGUCCAGACUCCUACGGGAGGCAGCAGUAGGGAAUCUUCCGCAAUGGGCGAAAGCCUGACGGAGCAACGCCGCGUGAGUGAUGAAGGUCUUCGGAUCGUAAAACUCUGUUAUUAGGGAAGAACAUAUGUGUAAGUAACUGUGCACAUCUUGACGGUACCUAAUCAGAAAGUCACGGCUAACUACGUG
rnacentral:rRNA from 1 species